UACGGAGGGUGCAAGCGUUAUCCGGAUUCACUGGGCUUAAAGGGUGCGUAGGCGGACAGGUAAGUCAGUGGUGAAAUCUCUGGGCUUAACUCAGAAACUGCCGUUGAUACUAUUUCUCUUGAAUAUCAUGGAGGUAAGCGGAAUAUGUCAUGUAGCGGUGAAAUGCUUAGAUAUGACAUAGAACACCAAUAGCGAAGGCAGCUUACUACAUGGAGAUUGACGCUGAGGCACGAAAGCGUGGGGAGCAAACAGG
rnacentral:rRNA from 1 species